AUCAGAGUAGCGUAAUGGUUUGAGUGUUGGACUGUUACUCUAGAGAUCAGGGUUCGAUUCCCCACUUGGCCA